CUUUGCGUUCUGAACUUGCGGAGUUCAUUUCAAAUGAGAUUUAGUUCAGUGGAAGUGAAAUCAAGCUGAAAUACCAAAAGCUUUGAAAAUCCUAGCCAAAUUAUUCCUUGGAUUCUUUGAAAUUGUAUUUUUUCUUUGUCUAUGUAGUGUUUGAGCAAGUUCAGGCUAGCCUAGAGCUCGUGAAUACAGCAGAAGGUGCUCCCUGAAUCUGCAGUUUGGCUCUGCAGAACUCAGAUCUGGUUCUGAGGACGCAGCAUGUGGCUGGGGCGGGGGGAAUCAGUGUCUUCAGCAAAUGAACAAAAAUAUGAGAAACUGACACCAAGCAUGUAAGAGGGUAAAGGUGCCUUGAUAUUGAUAUCUAUACAUAUUUCUUCAUCUCUAAUAUCCGAAGAUUAGAUUGUGUGUGCGUGGGGGUAUCAUACAGCACAUAGAUUAGUAAAAAUACCCUUUAGUUUUUGGAAAAUAUUUUUUCCUUUCCUUCAUUCUCUUCUUUGUAUGUAUGCACCAAGGAACUAAAUUAUGAUCCAGUAGCUAAACAAAUUAUGCAAAAUUAUACACCAGGAAUAUUUUAUAUUUCAGAACCCUGAAGCAAGGACUUUGGAUGGUUUUAUGUCUGCAACAACCUAUAUCAUACCCAGGAGCUGGCAUCUUGAGAUCACAUGCAUCUGCCCCUGAAGAGACUGGCAAAACAGAAAUAUUGUAAUUAUAACUUAACAAGGAUUCUUUGGCACCGCUUACUGGUUCCUGGGAUGCAGAGCCUUUCUGUAAAUGGAUCAGAAAAACAUCCCCAUGCUGAAAGAGACUUGAAGGCAUUUGAACUUAGCUGUCUGGCAUAAACUCCAUAGCGAUGUCAGUUAUAUGAACUGAAGAAGAGAUGGUUCCUAAACAUGCUCAGGUACAGUAUCGUCGGUUGCCCGACUAAAGAGAUACAGAGGAAUGAGAUUAAGGGACCUGACAGCGCUCUGAGACAAGUGAACUCUAUGUUAUGGUGAGUGUAUCAGCAUAAGGGGGUGAAAAGGAUACCAUAAAGAAAGAAAAACACUGCAUACCUGCUCUAACAGUGUCUCAGAUAAUGUUUACUAUCGUCCCAAAUUUGAAAUGCUGUCAUUUUAAUAAAUGAUGAAAAUUCUGCCUAUUAAGCUAUGUU
rnacentral:lncRNA from 1 species